UACGUAGGUGGCAAGCGUUGUCCGGAAUUACUGGGUGUAAAGGGUGCGCAGGCGGGACUGCAAGUUGGAUGUGAAAUUUCGAGGCUUAACCUCGAAACUGCAUCCAAAACUGUAGUUCUUGAGUGAAGUAGAGGUAGGCGGAAUUCCGAGUGUAGCGGUGAAAUGCGUAGAUAUUCGGAGGAACACCAGUGGCGAAGGCGGCCUACUGGGCUUUAACUGACGCUGAGGCACGAAAGCAUGGGGAGCAAACAGG
rnacentral:rRNA from 1 species